rnacentral:rRNA from 1 species
UACGUAGGGUGCGAGCGUUAAUCGGAAUUACUGGGCGUAAAGUGUGCGCAGGUGGCCGCGCAAGUCGAGUGUGAAAUCCCCGGGCUUAACUUGGGAAUUGCGCUCGAAACUACGUGGCUCGAGUGUGGCAGAGGAAGGUGGAAUUCCAGGUGUAGCGGUGAAAUGCGUAGAUAUCUGGAGGAACACCGGUGGCGAAGGCGGCAUCCUGGACCAACACUGACACUGAGGAGCGAAAGCCAGGGGAGCAAACGGG